GGACCCUCCGCCGAAGUGCUGCUGGAAACAGCGGCAACCAAUUGAGCUGCUGCUGAAUUGCCACCGCUAUUUUCGGCAGCUGCUCAAUCACUGCCGCUGUCUUCGGCGGCAUUUCAGCAGCAGCUCUUUCGAAUUGGGCCCCGCCCGUCCUAAAGCCGUCAGUUCUGAACCUGGAGGAAUAUGAUUGGAUUUGGGAUCCGUUCUCAACUCUUGCUAUGUCAUGCUGUUUGAGUGGAAAAGCAGACCAGGAGCUGCUCAAACUAUCCUGUGACUGCACACUGAAAAUUAAGUUGCAGGUACAGACUCCUUGCUACUUUUGGCCAAGAUUUCUGCAGAGUACCCAAUUUUAGUUACAGAAGCAAUGGAAGUGUUGCUACCUUUCCCAACAACAUAUAUAUGUGAAGCAUCAUUCUCUGCCAUGACAGCUAAGAAGACAAAGUUCAGGUUCUGCCUGGAAGUGGAGAAUGAUUUACACAUUUGCUUGUCAACCAUCACACCGAGGAUAGACAGACUCUGCAGUAAGAAGCAGGCACACCCAUCUCACUGAUAUCUACACAGGACCCCCGACUCAUCGGCUGGCUUAGCCUUGGUGCACCUCAGCGCAACGCGCUCCCUCAUUGCUGCAGUAUUACAACACAUCCAAACCCACAAGCCGACCCUUUUUAUCUAGAGCCCAGCGCCAUUAUAGACAGACCGAGCCCCUUCCGGCGCCGAAGGUGAUAUAUCGCAAGUUGCCAGGACCAGAGUGGAGCCUGCCUGUGCCACUCAUCACCUGGGGCCGGGGUUACGCAGCAGUGUCAACUGAAACCGGCCCUGUGUGGGUUCCCGCUCGCUUUGUGAAGCCGUGGAGAGAUGGCCUGGCAUCAGGGGCUAAAGAAUCCCAUUCCAGACUUCAGUCUAACCCUGACGGAUAGGGUGGACAAGAUUGACAAGGCCCGAAAGCGUGGCACACCUAACACUGCCAUAACUUGGGGGCAGGUCAAAGCUUUAUCACGGCAGGCUGAACAUGUAUUAGAGCAAACUAAGGCGGAUAAGACUACAGAAAACUACUUUCUUGCGCUAAUAGCCAGCUUAAAUGCUAAUUCUCUUUGCUGGGUUAUGUAUAUUUGGGUGACCGUUCUGUGUUUGGCGCAAGGUGUUGC